rnacentral:misc_RNA from 1 species
AGUGAAAUCUGUGGACCAUGAACAGAUAUAACUUUUAUUGUACAUUAACCGUGUACAAACACAUAAGUAGACACACGGGAGUAUGUGUAUCAAGAUAUGCAACCAAAGAAAAUAUAUGCAAAAAUGGGGAACUUGGAAGUAAGUAUUGGCAUAUGCAACAAACAGAUCUCAUAAAACUACUCAACAAACACAAUCUCUUCUAAAAUUCAUCUUCUAGCACUGAAAGGUUAUCCUAAUGAAUCACGUAGCAAUCAGAAAACUAUAAUCAUUUGAUAGCUGAAGUAAAUGUAAAGAGUCAAAAAAAAAAAAAAAUUGCUAUUAUCAUUAUUACUUUUUUCUCCCCACAUUAGAAUGCCUCAGGAAGCAGUGCACAUAUUAAGGGGUUACUCACACCCUUUCUUGAUGAACCCAUGAUAAGAUUCGGCCAUAGUUCGCUCUCCAAUAUCAUGAUUGCAUUUGGCUUCCAA